rnacentral:rRNA from 1 species
CCCUUAGAUGUUCUGGGCAGCACGCGCGCUACACUGAUGCAUUCAACGAGCUUAUAACCUUGGCCGAGAGGCCUGGGCAAUCUUGUUAACGUGCAUCGUGAUAGGGAUAGAUUAUUGAAAUUAUUAAUCUUGAACGAGGAAUUCCUAGUAAACGCAGAUCAUCAAUCUGCAUUGAUUACGUCCCUGCCCUUUGUACACACCGCCCGUCGCACCUACCGAUUGGAUGGUCCGGUGAAGCCUCGGGAUUGUGGUUCUUGCCGCUUUAUUGUGGCGUGACCGCGAGAACUUGUCUAAACCUUAUCAUCUAGAGGAAGGUGAAGUCGUAACA